CUCUUUCAUGCUAACUCACUUCUUCCUGCAAUGUCUGUCUCUACCAGGUGAGCCACUACCAAGCUACCAUAACCAUGAAGAAGCACCAGUCGUUGCUUUCAUUCAGUCCACUGAAAUUUAACUAUUGGACUGAUUGGCUGAUGGCUGUGUUUGCCCAUGUGGGCUGAUGCCAGUGAUGAUAAUGGACCAAUUUGGGAGAGACAUAAGAACAGUGAUUAAAAAUAAACGGAGACUUCUGAGGUAAGAUGGCAGAAUUUUCCUUUUCUCAUCCCAGUAAGUAAG
rnacentral:lncRNA from 1 species